GUUCGCUUUCCCGCUUGCACCCAUACGGGUGGGCAAUGACCAUCGAGGUAAGGAAAGCACACAUUCCAGAGAGGC
rfam:Fibrobacter sp. TWH4 genome assembly, contig: Ga0136283_104